rnacentral:hammerhead_ribozyme from 1 species
AUCCAGCUGAUCAGUCCCGAAAAGGACGAAAUGUGCGUCCUGGAU